GGAGAGGUGCCGGAGUGGUUGAAUCGGGCGGUCUCGAAAACCGUUGUGUGGGCAACCCCUGCACCGAGGGUUCGAAUCCCUCCCCCUCCG
rnacentral:tRNA from 1 species